CUGGGAGUUACUGGAGUCCGUUCGCGUUAGCGUGAGGCAGAGCCCGGUAUCACAGUCACGGUGACACAGUCACACGGUGCGGUGCGGGGAUGCCAGGCACAGACCAGCGCAUUGUGCAGUAACCCCGUGAGUCCCAGCACACAGCGCUGAGCAGAAGGAAGAAGAGCAAAGGAGGGCGCCGUGCAGUCCCAUCCUCAGAGCGGCUCAGCUUCCCUCGCGAACACAGAGAUCUUGUUUCAAAGGCAAAGAAUCCAGGAAGGAGGCGCCGGCGGAGCUGCUGGGGAAGCAGAGGUGGUGAUGUCGGUGGCAGCUAACGGUUUCAGGUCGCCUGGGAACUGCAGGGGCCGCCCCAGACCCUCCCGGGAAGCAGGCCCAGGGGCACGCCGGACAGCAGCCGAGAUGACUGGAGAAAGAAAAUGUGGUAUCUGUAUGUGAUGGAACUCUACUCAGCUUUGAAGAAUGACAAAUUAGAGCCAUCUGUGGGACAACGGAUGUGCCUGGGAAAUAUAAUGUUGAGUGAAAUAAACCAGACACGGAAGCUUAAA